rnacentral:siRNA from 1 species
CGUCUUUCACCAACCCGGUCC